GUAGGUGCAAGCGUUGUCCGGAAUUAUUGGGCGUAAAGCGCGCGCAGGCGGUCCUUUAAGUCUGAUGUGAAAGCCCACGGCUCAACCGUGGAGGGUCAUUGGAAACUGGGGGACUUGAGUACAGAAGAGGAAAGCGGAAUUCCAAGUGUAGCGGUGAAAUGCGUAGAGAUUUGGAGGAACACCAGUGGCGAAGGCGGCUUUCUGGUCUGUAACUGACGCUGAGGCGCGAAAGCGUGGGGAGCAAACAGGGAUUAGAUACCCUGGUAGUCCACGCCGUAAACGAUGAGUGCUAAGUGUUAGGGGGUUUCCCGCCCCUUAGUGCUGCAGCUAACGCAUUAAGCACCCCGCCUGGGGAGUACGGCCGCAAGGCUG
rnacentral:rRNA from 1 species